AUACCUACUUCAUAGUUCAUGCGUUGUGCACUUACCUAUAUUAUAUUUUAUCAAUGGUACAAGACAUAUUUAGACAACACAAAUUUGCUCGACACUCGUGUGUCAAAAUGUUUUUAAUAAGACGUAGAAUAAAACUAAAUUAUCUACAAAAAUUGAAGUGUUCAAAUGCAAGUAAUAACGAGAUCACAAUGAAUACGUGCUCUGAUAUAUUAAAAGACUUUGAAUCGGGACCACUAGAUGUUUAUAGAAAAAAUUCUACAAUCAACUGGAAAAAAAUGAGAGUUUUCAUAGAAUCUGAAGAUAUUUUACGAUACAAGAUGAGAGCUUGGAAAACGUUUGAAUCUGAUCCACUAUUCCAACAUUCUAAUGAAACUUUACCAUUAGAUGAACAACGAAGAUUAGCAUUAUUAAGAAUGUAUAGAAUUGUAGAAUCAAAAGUAUUUCCAUUUGAAGAAAUAAUGUCUAGUCCCAAACUGGCUUUAGCAAAAAUAGUAGCAAUGUUUCAAUAUUGUCCGUCUGUUGCAAUAAAAGUCGGAUUGACUUUUGACAUGUUCUCUAAUGUCAUAUUCAGUAUGGAUAAUGGAAGAAAUUCUAAUCUAUAUGAAAAUGCUCAGGAAGGAAAAGUUCCUGGUUGUUUUGCACUUACAGAAAUUUCACAUGGUACAAAUACUAAGGAAAUGAGAACUACAGCUUUAUAUGACAAUAAUUUAAAACAGUUUAUUUUACAUACUCCUGAUUUUGAAGCAGCAAAAUGUUGGGUUGGUAGUUUAGGAAAAUCAAGUACACACGCAAUAAUAUGGGCCAAAUUAAUCAUGAGUAAUGGUGAUGAUCAUGGAUUACAUGCAUUUGUAGUAAAUAUACGAGAUCCAAAAACAAUGUUACCUUACUCUGGAGUCAUAGUUGGUGACUUAGGAGAAAAAGCCAGUUUGAAUGGUGUUGAUAAUGGAUUUAUAAUGUUUAACAAGUUUUGUAUACCAAAAGAAAGUUUACUGAGUAAAACUGGAGACAUAAAUGAAGAUGGAAAAUAUGUUUCGCCGUUUAAGGAUAAAUCAAAACGAUUAGGAGCUUCUUUGGGCAGUUUAUCAGUUGGACGAUUAAGUAUUGUAAAUAUAUGUGUAGCAUACAUCACAAAAGCUGUUCCAAUAGCUAUAAGAUAUACAGGUGUUAGGAAACAGUUUGGACCCCCUAAUGGUGAUGAGUUACCAGUCUUAGAGUAUCAAUUAGUACAAUGUAGAUUGAUCCCAAAUUUGGCAGCUGCAUAUGCAUUAAAAAUUUAUGGUGAUUACGUGGCUAAUGUAUAUGAAUCAUUUUUAAUUGAGAUGUUCUCCAACAGUGGUUCAGAAAAAAUUAGAUUGCUUGGCACAGAGAUACAUGCAAUAUCUAGUUGUACCAAACCUAUAGCUGCGUGGACAUGUCGAGAUGCAAUACAAGAGUGUAGAGAAGCAUGCGGUGGUCACGGUUAUUUAAAAGCUGCUGGGCUUAGUGAACUGCGUAAUGCAAAUGAUGCUAACUGCACAUAUGAAGGUGAUAAUAAUGUAUUAGUACAACAAACCAGUAAUUGGCUAUUAAAUAUAUGGACAAAUUUACUGAAUGGAAAUACAAGUUGUUGUGAUACUCCAUUGGGUACUAUAGAGUUUCUUAAAGAUGUGAAAACUAUACUAAGUGAAAAAUUCAAAUUAUCUAGAGUAGAUGAAGUAUUCACUCAUAUGCAUUUACUAUCUUGUUUUCAAUGGAUGAUAUGCUAUCUAUUACGUCAGACAUAUGCACAAUUGCAACUAUUAAAAGAUCAAAGAAAAGAUUUAUUUACAGCGAAAAAUGAUUCCCAAAUGUUCUUUGCUAGGGAUCUGUCAAUAGUAUUUGCUGAAUACUUAAUUUUGAAAAAGUUUAUUGAAACAACAUCAUCUCCAAAUUUAGAUGAUGCACACAAAGUAGUAUUACAUAAACUUGCUUCACUUUAUGGAUUUUGGCUAGUUGAAAAACAUUUGUCAAUUAUGUAUGAAGGUGGCUAUGCUAAUGGGCCAUUAGCAUCUGUAAUAGUUAAAGGAUCCAUAAUAGAUUUAUGUUCAAGUCUUAAAAAUGAAGCAGUGACGCUUGCUGAUGCUAUAGUGCCUCCAGAUUUUAUUCUUAAUUCAGUGCUGGCUGCUUCAAAUGGACGGGUUUAUGAUAACUUAAAAGAUUUAUUAUUUGAAGAUAAAUCGACAUUUGAAAGACCUACUUGGUGGACAGAGAUAGCAGUACGAUCGAAAUUAUAAAUUUAAGGAUAGUAAGAAGCAGUUAUUUUAACACGUUGACUGCAUAUGUUUUUUUGCAGUUUUCACCCAGUGCAUUUGGUUAGAGCAUCAAAUGCAUUGCUGAUUGAUCCUCAUAACGCAAAUUUGCGUUAAUAUGUAGUCAACGUGUUAAGUAUCGAAUUUGUAAAACUAACUAGGUUUAUUCAAGUUUUUUUUUUGUCAAAGGUUCUUUUUUAUUAUGAAUAAGUAUUAUUGGUUUUAAUCUAUAUUUUUGUUUUAAAUUACAUGGUUUUUU
rnacentral:misc_RNA from 1 species